GCCCACUACCCACCCUAAAAAUCGUAUUUCUCCAUGUCUCCAUCAUCCAUAUUAUCAGCUAAGUUAGUCUAAUAUUUAAGAAAAGUUCAAAACUCUUAGAUGUUGGUGCUUCAUAAAUCCAACAUCUUGGCUAGAAAGAUAUGAAGAUUUCAAAUUGAUUGAUUGAAUUUGCACAUAAACAUUCGCCGUCCCAAUAAAGAUAAAUCACAAACUAAGCUUUUUCUUUCCUUCUCAAUCAAGAUUCCCCCUGAGAUGAAUACAAGUCUCAGCAUUAACAAACCAGCCGACAUCACACAAAAGUACAAGUCAAACUGUUAUGUGCAGUGGAGACCAAAGGUCCAAUUAACUUUAUUACUAAAUUUAAAGCCCGAGACAGCGUGAAGACAUAUUACACAACACACACACACACACACACACACACACACGCACAUUUUCAGAGGUCAUUACAAAUAUGAAACAUUAGCUCAGACGUGCUCACACAAAAGCAUUUCUUCAUCAGUUGCAGCACCCAAGCCACGCAUUAAGUACAUGCUGAUAUUCACUUUAUAAUCAGACUUGCUUCUAAUUGUCUGUGUUGCUCUUAAUCAGAUUCGGACUGACAAAGUCCAAGCAAUCAGUGGUCAUCAUAACCACCCACCCUACUCAAUGACCCCAUACCAUCUACGUACUACAGCAGUACCUCAAACUGUGGCAGUACCUUAAAAAUGGCUUUAUAGUUAGUGAUACUCUGACACUUUAGAAAAGAGCUUUUUUAUAUAAUCAUUUCAAUAACAUUUUUAUGAUAUGUGCAAAUAUUUCCCAGGGCUGUCAUGUUAGUAUGCGAAGCUUUACAUGCCAGAAAUUAUAAUUGAAAUUGGAGAAAAUCCCCACAUGAAAACAGCAUGUUGGGGCAUUUCUUUUUUCUUUUUUUUUUUUUUUUUGUCCAAACAUAUGUUCUAAAGCAUUUUUCUGGAGUAAAGUGCAUGUGAGUAAAAUCACAUUAAAAAUAACCUGAUGAUACAAUAUGCCAGGGGUAGUACCAAAUCAUUCUUGUGGGUUUUACUUCGAUGAUAUUUGCCAUAAAAGGUUAAGAUAACCCUAAAACUGAGCUAUGAAAGAACUUAAUCUUGCUGCACAGACACUAGGUGCACCUAAAGGAGGGCAGCAUUGGCUUAAUAAGUAUGUUACAACAUUAUUAUAUGCUUAACUUGAAUUCUUUUGCCCCAUUUUUUUCCCAUUUCAACCAGACAGCAGUUGCUACCAGCUGAGAAACACAGUUACACUCCAGUACGUACCAGAUUGAAUUUGCCUUUCUUUCCUUCUAUCUUUGAAGCUAUGAGAACCAUGCACGUUAUCGAGUAAAAUAUAGUGCUAGUAAAAUGUAGCACUAGUAAAAUGUAAAAGUAAUACAACAGUAAAACAAUAAAUGUUUGCAUCUGACAGUUAAAAUGUAAACAUUAGCAAGAUAACAAUUUUAUUUUUCCUAAAAAAUGAAAAAAACAAACUGCAUUCCUUGCACAUAGUUUUGCUUCUUGUUAGAGGUACCUACUUCAUUUUGGUAGCUGUUAACUAUCCACAUAGUAUAUACGCGUGUAUGCAGAGAUCAUUAUAGAUAGAUGGAUAGAAGGCCUAAAAAUAUCUACAGCAAAUGAAACGAAUCUAGAAGUCAUGUCCUUAAGAAAUAGGAGAAA
ensembl:lncRNA